rnacentral:rRNA from 1 species
CAGUCGCCGCGGUAAUACCAGCAGCCCAAGUGGUGGUCGCGCUUAUUGGGCCUAAAGCGCUCGUAGCCUGGCCGGUAAGUUCCCCGUGAAAUCGGGUCGCCCAACGAUUCGGCUUGCGGGGAAUACUGUCGGUCUUGGGGCCGGGAGACGCCGAGGGUACUCCGGGGGUAGCGGUGAAAUGCUGUAAUCCUCGGGGGACUACCAGUGGCGAAGGCGCUCGGCGAUAACGGGCCUGACGGUGAGGGGCGAAAGCUGGGGGCGCGAACGGGAUUAGAUACCCGUGUAGUCCCUGUCUCUUAUA